rnacentral:rRNA from 1 species
AUUCCCUUAGUAGCGGCGAGUGAAGUGGGAAGAGCCCAUCGCCGAAUCCCCCCGCCUUCCGGCGCGGGGAGUUGUGGCGUGAGGCGGCUUCGGGCGAGCGAGUCUCCUGCGCCGAGGUCCUCCUGAUCGGGGCACCUUACCCGUAGCGGGUGUCAGGCCCGUUCGGGCGCGGAGGCCAGCGAGCCUGGAGCCGCCAAGAGUCGGGUAGUUUUGGAAUGCUGCCCAAAGAGGGGUGGUGAACUCCAUCCAAGGCUAAAUACUGGCACGAGACCGAUAGCAGACAAGUAC